ACUGUUUUCAGCCUGGUCUUCCUGAAGGUUUCCUGGGGCCUGCAUCUGCCUUCUACUCCCAUGGCUGCUAGCACACACCUCCCAGAGGGCCAUAUUGCCACAUUAUGGCUAGAGAAGAGUAAAGAAGAAAAGAAGCUCUGAGAACAUUCACAGUUGUGCAUACUGACCCUGAAUCAAAUCAGGUUUCUGCCUACAAGAAGGAAGAAGAAAUGGCAGCUAGGUUCUCUCUCUUUGCCUGCCGCCAUCUACGUAAGAUGUGACUUGCUCCUCCUUGCCUUCUGCCAUGAUUGUGAGGCCUCCCCAGCCAUGUGCAACUAGAGCCGGUCAAAGUCUUGGAGGUGGAAACGAACUGCCAACUGAUUAACCAUUUUCCU
rnacentral:lncRNA from 1 species